rnacentral:lncRNA from 10 species
AGCAAGAGAGUCUGAGACUUCCAAUGGCUAUGUGGCAGUUUCCUUAGUGGGAAGACCCUGAAUGUAGAAGAAAGAAGCUCUCACAGUGGAAGACUAUAAUAUGACAUAAGAAGAAAUGUGGACUUGGAGAUACAGAAGAGACAGGGUCUCGCUCUGUUACCCAGGCUGGAGUGUAGUGGCACGAUCUAAGGUCACUGCAACCUCCGCCUCUGGGGUUCAAGCCUCCCACCUCAGCCUACCAAGCAACUGGGACUACAGCUCCACACUGAAGAGAAAAACCAACAUCCUACAAUGAUGGGGUUUUUUUUAAAGACACCCAAGAAGCCACCUGAAGAAUCAGAACAGGGAUGGAACUCAUCCAAACUCCACUUCCCCGAGAAAAUCAUCACAAUUUGACUUAUCUGGCAUUUCCCUGGAAAAACUCACACAAAGGGUAAACUACAUAAAUCAUCAAAGUCUUUCUGUUGAGGCUGUGGAAGAAAACCCCGUUCCAUCAUCCUGCGACGUUCUUCUGUUACCCGUAGCCAUGACUGCAGGCUACCAUAAUGGAUUGAUCCAUCAAGGUUUUUCUCUCUCAGAAGGAAGCGGUAGUCCUCUCCACUUAAGCGAUUUUCCAGAGCCAUUCGGGGCCACAGCAUCAUUCGCUGAACUGGACAAUCUGUUGGAUUGAGAAUCCAUUCUUCUCCACCAAAUUCCUUUACCUCUGCUAGAACAUAACAUUUUGUUUUGUCAAGAUGAAGUUUGUUUAUAAGAGACUCAAUCACCUCAGCAGCUGUGGAGUUUUUUCUGGCAGGAAUCGGACAGUAGAUUGUCCCUUCUGAAAUAGCCCCAGGAUAUAUCCGUAAUGUAUGUUCAUUAUCUUCAAAGCGUCGUCUUCCUCCAUCAUUUAUAUUCAUAUUGGAUCCUGUCCCAUCAGCAUGGAUAGUAUAUGUUCAAAGUCGUGCAAACCAUUUUCUUGGUAAAAUAACUGUAACAUAAAAGAUGCAAAAUAUUUAGAAGUAAAUACACAUUGCUUUCUGAUGCUCAAGAAAGAAAAGCUUAACAAGCAUGUUGAUUACAUCUUCUAAAACACAAAAUACUAACUCUUGUCUUAGCACAGCAACAGUUUCAUUGAGACCACAUAAUAUUAAGUUUCACUGUCCAAAUCUAGGCACUUUCUAAAAUAGUAACUUGCCAAAAAAAACAUAUAUUUCAAUGUUUUAUUAUACAAAAAUCCAAAGAGUACAAAGAAAAAUUAUUUUUCCCCUGCUGUCUCAAAUGUUUGUAAGGAACUUGGGAUUAGAACCAAGUUCUUUCCUUAUACUUAACAAAGACUGGAUUAAGACAGAAUAACCAUGCAAAUCUAAUUGCCCUGUACCCAAAAUUUCUUAAGGAUAAAGCAAAAACAAGAAAGCAUCCCAACAAUGGAGCAAAAAUUUUGUAAAAUUUGUUAAAAACAGCAAGAAGAUAGAUAAACAUAGAAAUUACAUAAAACCAAGAAAAUGAUGAGAGAAACCAACUAAGGAGAUAGACAUAUAUUUUCAAGGAAUUCUAGGCUCUGACUCACUCCCUCCCACAAGGUGGGAAGGAGAAGGGAGUUUGGCAAGAGUGACAAAAGAAUCCUGCCCCUGACUUGCUAGGCAAAUUUAACACAAUUAUACAACUAGGCACCACUACAAAUUUU